rnacentral:lncRNA from 1 species
AUUUCCACUGACCAAUUCUCAUGGAGAAUUGAGUAAUUAAUCAGUUUAUAAAAUCUAUAACAACUAUAAAAAUAUUGAAUUCAUUGUGUUUUUGCCCAUUGAUUUUUGUCAAAUAUUUUAAUCACAAUAAACAAUUUAAAUUUAUGAAAGGAAGACCAAAGUACAUUUGGAGGAGGAAAUCUCUCAUUUCUGUUUUUGAGCAUUCUUUCUCAGGAAACAGAACAUAUUUUUAAAGAGAAACAUCUUAACACAUCUGGUGUGAUCUUCUAGUUAUCUAGUUUAAGCCAAAAAAAGGUGGCAUCAUCUGUUUUUCUUUCAUACGUUUUGAAACAUGAGUUUCUGAAAGCUAUUUCCUAACAUAUGUCAAUUUAACAUCUGCUGGUUUCUAACUGAUAAUGAGGAACAGUGCGCUGGCAGCCCCUCCAAUAGUGCCAAGGUAUUUCCCAUUAGAAUUGCUUUCACUUUGGAAUUGUCAGUAAUAUUUUUACUCUAGGAUAGCCUAUUUUCCUAACUUGAAGGAGAUACAUGAAUGGAAGCACAGAGAAGGAAGAAUAAACAGAUUGAUAUAUUUACAGUUAUGUGGCAGCACAGCAGAGAAAGAUUUCAAAAAGAAAUAUUAGAUAAGAAAGUCAAUGUCAUAGGUCACAGAUUAAACUCCUUCUCCUGGCAAAGCAUGCUUCCCUAUACUACAUCUUAAUUCACCCUUGUUAUUCAAUACCAAGAGUAUUUGAAAACAGAAUUAAAAU